rnacentral:rRNA from 1 species
GGAGGGUGCAAGGCGUUAUCCGGAUUCACUGGGUUUAAAGGGUGCGUAGGUGGGUUGGUAAGUCCGUGGUGAAAUCUCCGAGCUUAACUCGGAAACUGCCGUGGAUACUAUCAAUCUUGAAUACUGUGGAGGUAAGCGGAAUAUGUCAUGUAGCGGUGAAAUGCUUAGAUAUGACAUAGAACACCGAUAGCGGAGGCAGCUUGCUACACAGUCAUUGACACUGAGGCACGAAAGCGUGGGGAUCAAACAGG